AUUAGAUGCCACUUUGUCUAUACCUUUAUUUUUAAACGUGUUCGACUGUCAAAAUCUGUGCAUAACAAAAUCAUCGAAGUGUUUUGUAAAAUUGGUUGUUUGCAGUAACCGGUGGCACUGCAUUUUAUUUCAACAAUGAAUGGAUCUCAGGCAAUUGUACUAUAUGGAUUUCUUUGCGUCCUGUUUAUAGGUAUUCUUAUUAUUUCGGUAAUAUUAGUCUGCGGAGUAUAUUUUCAUGAUCCGAAUCGAACAGUCAAACCACCGACGACCACAGAUUCUGCCUAAUAGAAAAGGUAGAGAACGUAAUCAAGUGGCUAGAAAUGUCUGACAUGAAUUGGUUUUAUUAAAGUUCGUUGAGAGUUAACCUUAAAAAUGGGCCUUAUUAAAUAUAUUGAUGAUUACGUGGUAAAAUGUAUUCCAUUAGAGAACUCCAAGCAGAACACUUAUGUGGAAGAAUAGCUUACAAACUGGCAGACUGGUAUUCGCCACUAUCGGUCAUUAAAGCCCAAAAAUCGAUCAGUUCUAUGCCGCACAAAGUUAUAUUGAAACAGCAUUUUGGUGCAAUGCUUUGGAUUUUAUUCAGCUCUACUGUCUAGGAUUGAACUUGCAUAUAAAUUAAUACGCAGUGAAAAGUUUAAAAAAGA